UAUUAGCUCAGCUGGUUAGAGCGCACCCCUGAUAAGGGUGAGGUCUCUGGUUCAAGUCCAG
rnacentral:tRNA from 1 species